UACGUAGGGCGCGAGCGUAUCCGGAAUUAUUGGGCGUAAAGAGCUCGUAGGCGGUUUGUCACGUCUGCUGUGAAAACUGGAGGCUCAACCUCCAGCCUGCAGUGGGUACGGGCAGACUAGAGUGCGGUAGGGGUGACUGGAAUUCCUGGUGUAGCGGUGGAAUGCGCAGAGUAUCAGGAGGAACACCGAGUGGCGAAGGCAGGUCACUGGGCCGCAACUG
rnacentral:rRNA from 1 species